rnacentral:rRNA from 1 species
AUUGAACGCUGGCGGCAUGCUUUACACAUGCAAGUCGAACGGCAGCGGACCUUCGGGUGCCGGCGAGUGGCGAACGGGUGAGUAAUAUAUCGGAACGUACCUUUCAGUGGGGGAUAACGUAGCGAAAGUUACGCUAAUACCGCAUAUUCUGUGAGCAGGAAAGCAGGGGAUCGCAAGACCUUGCGCUGAUUGAGCGGCCGAUAUCAGAUUAGCUAGUUGGUGAGGUAAAGGCUCACCAAGGCGACGAUCUGUAGCGGGUCUGAGAGGAUGAUCCGCCACACUGGAACUGAGACACGGUCCAGACUCCUACGGGAGGCAGCAGUGGGGAAUAUUGGACAAUGGGGGCAACCCUGAUCCAGCCAUGCCGCGUGUGUGAAGAAGGCCU